AUUGAACGCUGGCGGCAUGCUUUACACAUGCAAGUCAAACGGUAACAGGUUAAGCUGACGAGUGGCGAACGGGUGAGUAAUGCAUCGGAACGUGCCCGAUCGUGGGGGAUAACGCAGCGAAAGCUGCGCUAAUACCGCAUACGAUCUGAGGAUGAAAGCGGGGGACCGGAAGGCCUCGCGCGAUCGGAGCGGCCGAUGUCAGAUUAGGUAGUUGGGGGGGUAAAGGCUCACCAAGCCAACGAUCUGUAGCUGGUCUGAGAGGACGACCAGCCACACUGGGACUGAGACAAGGCCGAGACUCCGACGCGAGGCAGGAGUGGGAAUGUUGGACAAUGGGCGAAAGCCUGAUCCAGCAAUGCCGCGUGCAGGAAGAAGGCCUUCGGGUUGUAAACUGCUUUUGUACGGAGCGAAAAGGCUCUCUCUAAUACAGGGGGCUCAUGACGGUACCGUAAGAAUAAGCACCGGCUAACUACGUGCCAGCCGCCGCGGUAA
rnacentral:rRNA from 1 species